GGCAGUCAGUUGAUUCUGAUUCGUCACCUACUAUCACACAUGUGGAAAUCACACAAGUGGCUCACAGACCUCCCACUCCAUGAUUAAGUGGGAUAUUUGCACUUUUGGUGAUUAGAUCUAAAUGGGCAUAUCUUGUGACAGAGGCUGGUACUAAAGAAAAAGUGCGAGGCUAAAGAGUGUGUGGAACUGAUCACCAUGAUGGGGUGAGGAGCCCUAGGAGAUUAGAAUCUUGAGGAGGAGAAGAUUCUGGCUGGGAAAGGAACUGGUCUCUCAGUAUAGAGAAGCCAAAGAGAGAGGGUUGAAGGUUUACCCACUUUUCCUGCUUGUGGCUGGAAAUCCUUCCCCCCAACAUUUCCAAAUUGAAGACUAUUGAAAAGAAACCUCAGAAAGGCAUUUUGAAUCUCUGUCAGACUUUAUCUCAGCUCCUGUUGCCUGGGUCUGAACUGUGACCAAGGGGCCAAACCCAGGAUAUUUCCACAGAAGAGAAUAAAACCACAGAGGACUAUGAUGCCAUUGUUGAACAAUCAACCUUCCAGGAAAAUCCAAGACAACAUUCAGUAGAUAUUUAGUAAAUGAACAACUGAAUGAAUGAAGUCCUAGAAUCAAGAAGAAAAACUGAAGCUCCAGGAGAGUAAGAAAUGUACUCAAGAUCACAAGAAAUACCACAGUACCUUUUGGAUGAAGUCUAUAAUCACUCAAAACAAUAUGGACUAACUAUUCACACAAGAAAAACUGAGUGGAUGAGGACUAUCUACUGUCUAAACUAGAAUAUAUCCAUCAGUAAGAACAUACAUCUUUGGACAAGCACUGCAAAUGGAUAAUUUGUUGGACCCAGAAUUGAAGAGGAUGUGAGCAGGCUGGGUUGCUUUUGGGAAACCACUAAGUUCUGUGAAUAACCCCAAAUUUCUCCCCACAAAGACAUUCUUUUACUACUC